rnacentral:rRNA from 1 species
UACGUAGGUGGCAAGCGUUGUCCGGAAUUAUUGGGCGUAAAGCGCGCGCAGGCGGUCCUUUAAGUCUGAUGUGAAAGCCCACGGCUCAACCGUGGAGGGUCAUUGGAAACUGGGGGACUUGGUGACAGAAGAGAAGAGUGGAAUUCCACGUGUAGCGGUGAAAUGCGUAGAGAUGUGGAGGAACACCAGUGGCGAAGGCGACUCUUUGGUCUGUAACUGACGCUGAGGCGCGAAAGCGUGGGGAGCAAACAGG